GUGGGGCCAGCGACUUGCAGAGAAGGCAGAUGAAUUCUAUGAGGACAUGGCAGGCACCUCCAUGUGAUGAAGACUGGGAUACAGAGUCCCUGGAGCACUUGACUUCUCCGUUUGUUCAAGGCAUGGCAGACUAUGGCAUAAACGGUACCACUUUGGAACAUAAGAAUUCCCUGCCUCCAGGUUUACGUGUCCCUAAGUCAUCUCCCUAUGCGCUGGCCAUGAGGACGGAAGCCCCAUGAUCCCUCCAUGGCAGCCGGGAGCCUCCGCUUUAUGGCAUGUGGGUGUGCGGCACUUCACAUCAUAAGGAAUUCACACAGCAUUCAUUAUUUUACAUGCAUAUAUGUAUGUUAUGGAUAAUAGCAAAGAGCUGGAAUUUAAACAGUACUCUUAACUGCUUGUCCAGUCUCUGUUAGGGUUUUGUAGUUCUUUAAAAGAAUAAUUUUCCAACCUUUAACACAUUUGAGAGUUCAAAUAGAACUGUUCUUUCCUGUAGCAGGGGAAGCUGGUUUAAAUUACCAUUAAAAUGUUUAUAAUAAAAGGGAUGCAAAGUGUUUACGUAAACACACCCACAAGAAAGGGAUGUAAAGUAAAGACUUCAUAAACACAAAGAAUUAAGAAAUGUCAUAUCAGGCAUUUGUGUAGAAAGAAAUUGCUGCCAAAGGUGUUUUGGAAAAAUGUUGCUCACAAUACCGACCUUUCCUAUUUGUAGUGCUGCCGCUGCACAAUAGUCCUUGUUGACAAGCAUGUGCAGUUGUCGUCGUCUCGAAGUCUUGUUCAAAAUGACAAUUUAGAAUAAAGCGAUUGCU